AACGAACGCUGGCGGCAUGCCUAACACAUGCAAGUCGAACGAACCCUUCGGGGUUAGUGGCGCACGGGUGCGUAACGCGUGGGAAUCUGCCCUUUGCUUCGGAAUAACAGUUAGAAAUGACUGCUAAUACCGGAUGAUGUCUUCGGACCAAAGAUUUAUCGGCAAGGGAUGAGCCCGCGUAGGAUUAGGUAGUUGGGGGGGUAAAGGCCUACCAAGCCGACGAUCCUUAGCUGGUCUGAGAGGAUGAUCAGCCACACUGGGACUGAGACACGGCCCAGACUCCUACGGGAGGCAGCAGUGGGGAAUAUUGGACAAUGGGCGCAAGCCUGAUCCAGCAAUGCCGCGUGAGUGAUGAAGGCCUUCGGGUCGUAAAGCUCUUUUACCAGGGAUGAUAAUGACAGUACCUGGAGAAUAAGCUCCGGCUAACUCCGUGCCAGCAGCCGCAGUAAAAC
rnacentral:rRNA from 1 species